GUCCAGGGUAGCAUAGUGGAUAUGGCAUCUGCCCGGUAAGCGGAACACUGUGGGUUCGAUAACCUUCCCUGGACA
rnacentral:tRNA from 1 species